GGAGAUCCUCGGCUGGCUCGGCCCGGUGGGCAACGGGGCCACCGUCGGCAUCAUCGCGGUGCUGACCGCGGCGUUCGUGGCGUCGGCCUUCUCC
rnacentral:tRNA from 1 species